rnacentral:rRNA from 1 species
GUUGUGUUGGUUAAGUAGUUGAAGGGAUAUCUUUUGUUUUGCAAAAAUCAUAUUUUUUGAUAGUAUUGGUGAAAGAAUUCAAAAUAAUUUGCAGGUUAGAAAGUACUGUAAAGGAAAAAAGAAAUAUGUGAAAAGAAGUUUUUCUUACUUUUUGUAUCAUGGGUUAGUGAGAAAAAUUUUGUUAUUAUGUGAUUUCUCGAAUUCUUGUGAGUUAUCUUGUUUAUGUUUAGAACUAAUAUUGUGGUGUUGCAUAAUCACAAAUAUAAAAUAAGAUAGAAGUAAAAUGCUUUGCGAACAAGAAAAUAGCUAGUUUCUGCUUUUGUAUUUAUAAGAAGGGUUGCUUAAGAAAAUAAGCGCAUAAAAGCUUUGUUUUUUGGGGAUAAGCUCAAAAAAAUGAUGAAAUUUUAUUUUGUAAGAGUAAGGUAUGGGCAUAAAAGCUGCCAUUUUUAAUGAAUUCGUCUUAGAUCGCUCUUGUUUUUCUAAAAUUCUUUGUUUUUUGGCAGAUUUGUUUUGAAUAAGAAAAAAUUUAAAAUAAUGCUAAUAUUAGUACUGAUGAGGUUACAGAAUGAAAAUGUAAGUGGCUUUUAUGUGUUGCUUGCUGUAUUUGGGCGAAAAUUGUACAAGGAAGAAAGGAACUCGGCAAAUAGUAAGUCCGUCUGUUUAUCAAAAACAUAGCCUGUUGUGGUUUAAUAACAGGUAGUUUCUGCCCAGUGCUUUGUAGGUAAAUGGCCGCGGUACUCUGACCGUGCAAAGGUAGCAUAAUCAUUUGCUCUUUUAUUGGGGGCUGGAAUGAAUGGAAUGACGUGACUUGAGCUGUCUCUUUUUCUUAGUUGGAAUUUGCUGUUUUUGUGAAGAAGCAAAAAUGUAAAAAAAAGACAAGAAGACCCUAUUAAGCUUUACUUGUGCCUGUCAUACGUUAACUUUGUUUUUAGCAUUAGCUUAUGUUGGCUGAGUUUGGUUGGGGUGACCAAAGAAGAUAAAAUCUUCUUUUUUUUAAGAAACUAUGUGUUUGUUAGUGAGCCAGAAAAUUCUGAAAAAAAGAAUAAGUUACUAUAGGGAUAACAGCGUAAUUUUUUCAAAGAGUUCUUAUCGAAGAAAAAGAUUGCGACCUCGAUGUUGACUUGUUGUUUCCGUUGUGUUAGGUGUAGAAGCUGAAAAGGUUGGUCUGUUCGACCAUUAAAACAAUACGUGAGUUGAGUUCAGACCGGCGUGAGCCAGGUUGGUUUCUAUCUUUUUAUGCUAAGCAAGGCAUUUGUUAGUACGAAAGGACCGCAAAACCGCAUGUGUAUGUUUAU